rnacentral:lncRNA from 1 species
GCCCCACCCCAAGUGCUGGUAUGGUGUUUGUUAAGCCUGGCCUUUGUGAAGCUCCCUGGGGUCUCCCUAGAAAUGCAAGCACACAGCAGAGUGGAUGAGCGAUGUAACAAGCUGUCCCUCCGUGGGGCACGGAGAAUCUUUUGUAAAAAAUUAAAGUUAUAAAUGCAUGCUCUUUCAGGAAUAAUAUAGUUUGUCUUAAGUUGUUUACCUCUACUACCCAAACAAGCCCAAGGUGCUUCAUUCCAAGCACCUGUUACCUACCAUUUUUCUCCUCCAAGGACAAGACUUCUUCAUGAUUACACAUUUACCCCAAGAUUACCAGAAAGCUCUCCUGUGUUGCUCUUGAAUGUUCAUUUCUAGUAACACAUCGAUUUCCUGCCCCAUGGAAAAAAGUGUUAUCUGCCUUUCCUUCCCUUGCUCCUGCACAUGCACGGACUUCUUUCUACUUUCCUGGCAUCCUGGUAGAGUGCUUAGAACACACCUUAGUGUGGUCACAUCCGCAUUUUCUUUAGACAUUGCAUAAGAGCUACUAGAAACUGAGACCAUGACUCCCUUUCUGGUUUUACUUUAAGUAAACAAUGAUGAUGGUUGCCUUUAGGGUUUUUUUUUUUUUUUUUUUUUUUUUUUUUUGCUUAGCCUUGAUGUUCCAUCACUAACUCAAUCCUCAGUAGAACCCUUUAUCAGUUCUCUAAAAGCUUCCUUUUCAUAGCAGGUGAAUGCAGUGGUUAUUCUGUCAGCUCUAAUACAGAAAACCCUCUCCAGGAGAAUUCUGCAGUUUUACAAAGUAACACUGGUGCCACUACAAAUGGGACUAGGUACUAUUGGGUCAGUGUGGGAAAGGGUU